AGCAGCCGCGGUAAUUCCAGCUCCAAUAGCGUAUAUUAAAGUUGUUGCAGUUAAAAGCUCGUAGUUGAAUUUUAGGCCUGGCCGGGCGGUCCGUCUUUGGCGAGUACUGUCUGUUGUCGGGUCUUCCUUCUGGUGAACCAAUAUGUCCUUUAUUGGGUGUGCUGGGGAGCCAGGACCAUUACCUUGAAAAAAUUAGAGUGUUUAAAGCAGGCUUUUGCUUGAAUAGAUUAGCAUGGAAUAAUAGAAUAGGACGUUGUGGUUCUAUUUUGUUGGUUUCUAGGGCCACCGUAAUGAUUAAUAGGGAUAGUUGGGGGCAUUAGUAUUCAAUUGUCAGAGGUGAAAUUCUUGGAUUUAUUGAAGACUAACUAUUGCGAAAGCAUUUGCCAAGGAUGUUUUCAUUAAUCAAGAACGAAAGUUAGGGGAUCGAAGACGAUCAGAUACCGUCGUAGUCUUAACCAUAAACUAUGCCGACUAGGAAUCGGGCGACGUUAUUUUAAUGACUCGCUCGGCGCCUUAUGGG
rnacentral:rRNA from 1 species